rnacentral:lncRNA from 1 species
UCAAACAGUUGAAAGGGGAAAUUGGCAUUGAACCGAGGCCACAUAGUCGGUGGACCCAUGGCGUCAUGCUGAAAUUCGGAGGUCAUUGGUCCUUGAGGAGGAGGCAUAGGCUGACUGCGAACCGGUGAAGGAUCCGCAUGCAUUGCCUCUGGAGAAGGUGAUCGAGCUGGCAUUGGCUCGGGAGUUGAAGAAGGUUCAGAAGUCGAACCGAGCUGACCGUCCGAAGGCUGUUUUCUUUUUCGGGACGGAGAAGGGUCGGCUUCGACCUGCUCAGCGCUAGGUGUUGGGGUUUCAUUUAAUGGGCUGGAUGUUGAAGGAGGGGGAACGCGGAGUUCGUCGGCAGUAAGAGGAAUUAUUUUGCUUCUCAAUUUUUUAGCACGAAGGACUUUCGCCCGAUCGUGUGGAGGAAUGUCAAGGAGACUCCUCUUUCUUAGAUUUGGUUCAGA